ACGGAAGGCAGCAGUGGGGAAUAUUGCACAAUGGGGGGAACCCUGAUGCAGCGACGCCGCGUGAGCGAAGAAGUAUUUCGGUAUGUAAAGCUCUAUCAGCAGGGAAGAAACAGGACGGUACCUACACAAGAAGCUCCGGCUAACUACGUGCCAGCAGCCGCGGUAAUACGUAGGGAGCAAGCGUUAUCCGGAUUUAUUGGGCGUAAAGCGCGCGCAGGCGGGUGUUUAAGCGGAUCUUCUAACCCGAGGGCUCAACCCCCGGUCGGGAUCCGAACUGGACAUCUUGAGUGCGGUAGGGGCAGGCGGAAUUCCAUGUGUAGCGGUGAAAUGCGCAGAUAUAUGGAAGAACACCGAUGGCGAAGGCAGCCUGCUGGGCCGACACUGACGCUCAGGUGCGAAAGCUAGGGGAGCAAACAGGAUUAGAUACCCUGGUA
rnacentral:rRNA from 1 species